rnacentral:rRNA from 1 species
UACGGAGGGGGCUAGCGUUAUUCGGAAUUACUGGGCGUAAAGGGUGCGUAGGCGGGUCUUUAAGUCAGGGGUGAAAUCCUGGAGCUCAACUCCAGAACUGCCUUUGAUACUGAAGAUCUUGAGUUCGGGAGAGGUGAGUGGAACUGCGAGUGUAGAGGUGAAAUUCGUAGAUAUUCGCAAGAACACCAGUGGCGAAGGCGGCUCACUGGCCCGAUACUGACGCUGAGGCACGAAAGCGUGGGGAGCAAACAGG